rnacentral:misc_RNA from 1 species
AUGUAAUGGCAACUUUCAGUAAUAUAAAAGAAUGUUACAAAUUGAUACUGUUUUGCUGUGAAAAGGACUGUCAUGACUUAAACAUCUGAAAGGCGCGAUGAGGAAAACUUGCCUGCUCUCUGUUAUCGUCUUUUACAACUGAACAGAUACACAAAUUAAACUAACCAACCAAACUAGUAUUUUCUUUUCCUAAUCUUGAAAGUGGACGACCGGAUAACAUCAUCAUCAGCUACCAAUGUUGCCUCAAGAGCUACAAUGGAUUCAGGUUUAGUAAAAUAAGUGAACAGGAGGUAGAUACCGUCCAAGUACGUAUUUGUCUCUCCAGCUUUGUUUUUCCUCCUAAUGCUGUAUGCAAGUGGAAUAACCCCUCGGUUGAAGACUUCCACAUACAUACCACCACCAGCAACCAGCAACUCUUCGUAUUUCUGGGUAAGAGCAAGUCUUUCAUCUUCAGACAUAUCAGGUCUCAAUACCACCAUUGUUUCAUAAGGGCGUAACCCAGGUGGACACUGCGGUUCCUCUUUAUCUUCAACUGCAGAAAUACCCGACCAUGGUGUAGUCGGUGGUUCAUCAGCAUUUCCUCCUCCAAAUCCACCCUCGAAAAACGAGCCCGAAAAUUCUAGAGUUUGGGCUUUCAAGAUUUGCCCAGAAUUGUUGACCCUUUUGGUGAAACCUUUGAAGUUGAAGGGUAUUGAAGGUUUAGAAGAAGAGAGAGUGGAGGUAAGAGAUGGAAGUACUGAUGGAGAAGAAGAAGAAGACGCCAUUCUUGAGGGAGAUAAAGUGGAUAAGAAAGAGGAAAUUCA